rnacentral:tRNA from 1 species
ACCCCUGUAGCUCAACGGACAGAGCAGCGGCCUUCUAAACCGCCAGGUAGGAGUUCGAAUCUCCUCAGGGGUAC